GACGAACGCUGGCGGCGUGCUUAACACAUGCGAGUCGAACGAAAAGAGGGAAAGAGCCUGCUCUUUCCGGAAUUGAGUGGCAAACGGGUGAGUAACACGUAAACAACCUGCCUUCAGGAUGGGGACAACAGACGGAAACGACUGCUAAUACCGAAUAAGUUCCAAGAGCCGCAUGGCCCAUGGAAGAAAAGGUGGCCUCUACCUGUAAGCUAUCGCCUGAAGAGGGGUUUGCGUCUGAUUAGCUGGUUGGAGGGGUAACGGCCCACCAAGGCGACGAUCAGUAGCCGGUCUGAGAGGAUGAACGGCCACACUGGAACUGAGACACGGUCCAGACUCCUACGGGAGGCAGCAGUGGGGAAUCUUCCGCAAUGGGCGAAAGCCUGACGGAGCAACGCCGCGUGAGUGAUGACGGCCUUCGGGUUGUAAAACUCUGUGAUCCGGGACGAAAAGGCAGAGUGCGAAGAACAAACUGCAUUGACGGUACCGGAAAAGCAAGCCACGGCUAACUACGUG
rnacentral:rRNA from 1 species